CCUACGGGUGGCAGCAGUGGGGGAUAUUGCACAAUGGGGGAAACCCUGAUGCAGCGACGCCGCGUGUGGGAAGACGGUCCUCUGGAUUGUAAACCACUGUCCCCAGGGACGAAGAUGACGGUACCUGGGGAGGAAGCUCCGGCUAAAUACGUGCCAGCAGCCGCGGUAAUACGUAGGGAGCAAGCGUUGUCCGGAAUUACUGGUGGUAAAGGGAGCGUAGGCGGGAUGGCACGAUGGGUGUUAAAUCUACCGGCUCAACUGGUAGUCGCACUCAAAACUGCUAUUCUUGAGUGAAGUAGAGGCAGGCGGAAUUCCUAGUGUAGCGGUGAAAUGCGUAGAUAUUAGGAGGAACACCAGUGGCGAAGGCGGCCUGCUGGGCUUUUACUGACGCUGAGGCUCGAAAGUGUGGGGAGCAAACAGGAUUAGAUACCCUUGUAGUC
rnacentral:rRNA from 1 species